UUUCCGGUCGGCGAUCUCCGGAACCAAGAGUGGCAAAAACGAGCAGCAGGCGGAAGAAAGGAAGAAGUUUCUUGAAGGAUAUGAUGGCUUCAGUAUUUCUGAAGACACAGAAUUUCCACUAAUCAUUCAGCAGAGGAGACCAAAGAGAGGUUAAGUCUUUCCUGAGCACAGAUGAUCGAAGCUGGGUGAAACACUCAGUCAAAUUAGAGUUUCAGUUUCAAGAAUGGAUUUCUCCAUGUCUCAGGGAUUUUAAAUCUUGAAGAGAUGAUCUUACCUCAUGGCAGCCAGUCCAGUGUUUUUGCCACCUGACCAAACCACUUCCAGAAGGACCUUGAUAACCAGCUUGAUGGUCAGAUUGUCCAUUUCAAUGACUUUGUCGGUAUAGAGUUUCUCCAGAAGUUCACACAAUGACUUGGCACCCUGGCCUGUGACAUCAUUGGCCUUCCAGGCAAGCGAGCUGAAAACACCUGCAAAGGGCACAGGAGGAAAGCAAAAAGGCCUCUGCGUAACCAGCCUGAAUUCUACACUGCAGCAAAGCUUGUGUAUUUUUUUAAAAAAUCAGUUUUUCCAGCUGUUGAAUGACUUCAGGAAGCAUUCCCAAGGCCCCAUCUGAUGCAAAGUCCUCCCCUGUGCUUCACCACUGCUUGUCUUUACCCUGAUCCCAGCACAAUGGCUCUGCUUGUUGUCUGGUUUGCCACGUCUGUUGUUAAUUUAAACCACCAGGAGGUCAGGGACGACUCUAUUUUGUUUGAAUGGCAUGCGUUCACCGGAAAAUAAUCUUCUCUCCAAUGUAGAAUCCUGAGCAUGAGAAUUCUCAAGACACACUAGGUCAAGAGUGAGAGGAAAGUACAAAAUAUAUGUUCACUGUCUUAUAUGGCGUUUCUUCUUGUGAACAUAUGGGUAUAAUCAUGGCUCAGUAAAAGAUGUGCUCCAAUUAUCUCUCUUUG